GAGUUUGAUCCUGGCUCAGGAUGAACGCUGGCGGCGUGCUUAACACAUGCAAGUCGAACGGGGCCACCAUUUUUGAAGCGAUUAGCUUGCUAAGAGUGGAAAUGUUGGCGGCUUAGUGGCGGACGGGUGAGUAACGCGUGGGUAAUCUGCCAUAUACAGGGGGAUAACACUUAGAAAUAGGUGCUAAUACCGCAUAAGCGCACGGAGCUGCAUGGCUCAGUGUGAAAAACUCCGGUGGUAUAUGAUGGACCCGCGUCUGAUUAGCUUGUUGGCGGGGUAACGGCCCACCAAGGCGACGAUCAGUAGCCGGCCUGAGAGGGUGGACGGCCACAUUGGGACUGAGACACGGCCCAAACUCCUACGGGAGGCAGCAGUGGGGAAUAUUGGACAAUGGGGGGAACCCUGAUCCAGCGACGCCGCGUGAGUGAAGAAGUAUCUCGGUAUGUAAAGCUCUAUCAGCAGGGAAGAAAGAAAUGACGGUACCUGACCAAGAAGCCCCGGCUAACUACGUGCCAGCAGCCGCGGUAAUACGUAGGGGGCAAGCGUUAUCCGGGUUUACUGGGUGUAAAGGGAGCGUAGACGGUAAUGCAAGUCUGGAGUGAAAUGCAGGGGCUCAACCCCUGAACUGCUUUGGAAACUGUAUGACUGGAGUGCA
rnacentral:rRNA from 1 species